rnacentral:rRNA from 1 species
UACGGAGGGUGCAAGCGUUGCUCGGAAUUAUUGGGCGUAAAGGGCAGGUAGGUGGUCUCAUUUGUCUGGGGUGAAAUCCUUGAGCUUAACUCAAGAACUGCCCUAGAAACGGUGAGACUGGAGUGCUGGAGAGGGUCGUGGAAUUCCCGGUGUAGCGGUGAAAUGCGUAGAGAUCGGGAGGAACACCAGAGGCGAAGGCGGCGACCUGGACAGUGACUGACACUCAACUGCGAAAGCGUGGGGAGCAAACCGG